GGGUUGUGAGGUUAAGCGACUAAGCGUACACGGUGGAUGCCCUGGCAGUCAGAGGCGAUGAAGGACGUGCUAAUCUGCGAAAAGCGUCGGUAAGGUGAUAUGAACCGUUAUAACCGGCGAUGUCCGAAUGGGGAAACCCAGUGCAAUUCGUUGCACUAUCGUUAACUGAAUACAUAGGUUAACGAGGCGAACCGGGGGAACUGAAACAUCUAAGUACCCCGAGGAAAAGAAAUCAACCGAGAUUCCCCCAGUAGCGGCGAGCGAACGGGGAGCAGCCCAGAGUCUGAAUCAGCUUGUGUGUUAGUGGAACGGUCUGGAAAGUCCGACGGUACAGGGUGAUAGUCCCGUACACCAAAAUGCACAGGCUGUGAACUCGAAGAGUAGGGCGGGACACGUGGUAUCCUGUCUGAAUAUGGGGGGACCAUCCUCCAAGGCUAAAUACUCCUGACUGACCGAUAGUGAACCAGUACC
rnacentral:rRNA from 1 species